GGAUAGCUCAGCUAGUUAGAGCAUAGUGCUGAUAACACCAAAGUUGCAGGUUUGAUCCCUGUAUGGGUCA
rnacentral:tRNA from 1 species